UACGAAGGGGGCAAGCGUUGUUCGGAAUUACUGGGCGUAAAGGGCGCGUAGGCGGCUUAUCAAGUCAGGCGUGAAAUUCCCGGGCUCAACCUGGGGGCUGCGCUUGAUACUGAUGAGCUUGAAUGCGGGAGAGGAUAGUGGAAUUCCCAGUGUAGAGGUGAAAUUCGUAGAUAUUGGGAAGAACACCGGUGGCGAAGGCGGCUAUCUGGCCCGUAAUUGACGCUGAGGCGCGAAAGCGUGGGGAGCAAACAGGG
rnacentral:rRNA from 1 species